UACGUAGGGUGCAAGCGUUAAUCGGAAUUACUGGGCGUAAAGCGUGCGCAGGCGGUCUUACAAGACAGGUGUGAAAUCCCCGGGCCUUAACCUGGGAACUGCACUUGUGACUGCAAGGCUGGAGUACGGCAGAGGGGGAUGGAAUUCCGCGUGUAGCAGUGAAAUGCGUAGAUAUGCGGAGGAACACCGAGUGGCGAAGGCAAUCCCCUGGGCCUGUACUGACGCUCAUGCACGAAAGCGUGGGGAGCAAACAGG
rnacentral:rRNA from 1 species